GCCGAAGUGGUGGAAUGGUAGACACUGCGGACUUAAAAUCCGUUGCUCGAUGGAGCGUGAGGGUUCGAGUCCCUCCUUCGGUA
rnacentral:tRNA from 1 species